GACUUCGGUCCUAGCGGCGGACGGGUGAGUAACGCGUGGGUAAUCUGCCUCAUACACACGGAUAACGUACCGAAAGGUACGCUAAUACGAGAUAAAGUUAAGAGAUGGCAUCAUUUCUUAAUCAAAGAAUUUCGGUAUGAGAUGAGCCCGCGUCCCAUUAGCUAGUUGGUAAGGUAAAAGCUUACCAAGGCGACGAUGGGUAGCCGACCUGAGAGGGUGAUCGGCCACACUGGAACUGAGACACGGUCCAGACUCCUACGGGAGGCAGCAGUGGGGAAUAUUGCACAAUGGGCGAAAGCCUGAUGCAGCAACGCCGCGUGAGCGAUGAAGGUCUUCGGA
rnacentral:rRNA from 1 species